CUAAUUAAUGAGGCGUCCGAUUUGAAUGUGGUCUUCGGAAAAGUUGUAGCUGAUAGAGUAGCCUAGGAGUACCAAGGGUCAACUAACACUAUAGGGCACUUGGGAAAAUGCUACGGUCAAUUGAAUGAAAAGCGUUCUUUUCCCAUACUAAUUCCCAUACAAACUUCGAAGGGCUUGUGCACUCUCAAUUUUCAACCAAUUCAGCUCAAAUUUUAGGAGAAGGCAUAGAAUCAAAGUCCAAAUAAAGUCGUUCAACUCCCAUACAUUGGUGUGAAAUUUCGGGGUUCAUGAAGUACUAGACCAAAAAAAUAUAAUACCUGCGUAUAAUGAUACCUUGCGCUCUUCUGCAAAUUGAAUAUCUAGUACUCCACUAAUGUUGCUAUGAGUAACUACUGUUCAAACAAAUAUAAACAAGAAAAAAUCAAUCUCCGGAAAACGAAGUAUUAAACUGUUAGAAAAUUGGAAGCAUCCUUCAUCAGCCUUCGUUGUGCAACUUUGGUAACUUGGAGCGUCCUUAAUCGAAAAUCCAAUUCCAACUCCCAGGCCAAAAAGUGUAACGAACCCAAUGAGACCCCCACCGACUUACCACCCCGUCGCCCCGUUUACCAGCCUGACGAUGUCACCGUUCCGAUCUCCAACGUCGCCAUUCCUAUAGUAUCCCCCCCCCAUCGUCCGGACGGGCCCCGUUCUUGCUUGAUCCAAGAGUUACCGGCCGGCCAAACACACUACACAAUCAUGUAGAAUUUGCUUUAAAAGUUAAAAUAUACAUUAAUAUAAUUUAGAAAAAAAAAACUACACGAACACACCCUAGGUAUGUUUGUUAAUAAAUUAAUGAGAAAAAGUAA